rnacentral:rRNA from 1 species
GAUGAACGCUAGCGGCGUGCCUAACACAUGCAAGUCGAACGUGAGAGGGUACUUGUAUCCUUGAAAGUGGCGGACGGGUGAGUAAGACGUAGGUGACCUGCCUUGAAGUGGGGGAUAACCAUUGGAAACGAUGGCUAAUACCGCAUAAGCUGGUGACGAUGGGAAUCGUUAUCAGGAAAGCUUUAGUGCUUUGAGAGGGGCCUACGGCCGAUUAGCUAGUUGGUGAGGUAAAGGCUCACCAAGGCGAUGAUCGGUAGCUGGUCUGAGAGGACGAUCAGCCACACGGGAACUGAGACACGGUCCAGACUCCUACGGGAGGCAGCAGUAAGGAAUAUUGCUCAAUGGCCGAAAGGCUGAAGCAGCAACGCCGCGUGGAGGAUGAAAUACUUUUGUAUGUAAACUCCUGUAAGAAGGGAAAAUAUGCAGUUUUUCUGCAUUGAUUGUACCUUCAGAGUAAGCCCCGGCUAACUACGUGCCAGCAGCCGCGGU